AGCGAACGCUGAGGGCAGGCUUAACACAUGCAAGUCGAGCGGGCAUAGCAAUAUGUCAGCGGCAGACGGGUGAGUAACGCGUGGGAACGUACCUUUUGGUUCGGAACAACACAGGGAAACUUGUGCUAAUACCGGAUAAGCCCUUACGGGGAAAGAUUUAUCGCCGAAAGAUCGGCCCGCGUCUGAUUAGCUAGUUGGUGAGGUAAUGGCUCACCAAGGCGACGAUCAGUAGCUGGUCUGAGAGGAUGAUCAGCCACAUUGGGACUGAGACACGGCCCAAACUCCUACGGGAGGCAGCAGUGGGGAAUAUUGGACAAUGGGCGCAAGCCUGAUCCAGCCAUGCCGCGUGAGUGAUGAAGGCCCUAGGGUUGUAAAGCUCUUUUGUGCGGGAAGAUAAUGACGGUACCGCAAGAAUAAGCCCCGGCUAACUUCGUGCCAGCAGCCGCAGUAA
rnacentral:rRNA from 1 species